rnacentral:tRNA from 1 species
AGGAGAGUGGCUGAGUGGUUUAAGGCGGCAGAUUGUAACUCUGUUGAAUGAUAUUCGUCGUAGGUUCGAAACCUACCUCUCCCA